CCAUGGCGGCAGCUACCAUGCAGUCGAGCGGUAGAGAGAAGCUUGCUUCUCUUGAGAGCGGCGGAUUGGCGAGUAAUGCCUAGGAAUCUGCCUGGUAGUGGGGGAUAACGUUCGGAAACGGACGCUAAUACCGCAUACGUCCUACGGGAGAAAGCAGGGGACCUUCGGGCCUUGCGCUAUCAGAUGAGCCUAGGUCGGAUUAGCUAGUUGGUGAGGUAAUGGCUCACCAAGGCGACGAUCCGUAACUGGUCUGAGAGGAUGAUCAGUCACACUGGAACUGAGACACGGUCCAGACUCCUACGGGAGGCAGCAGUGGGGAAUAUUGGACAAUGGGCGAAAGCCUGAUCCAGCCAUGCCGCGUGUGUGAAGAAGGUCUUCGGAUUGUAAAGCACUUUAAGUUGGGAGGAAGGGUUGUAGAUUAAUACUCUGCAAUUUUGACGUUACCGACAGAAUAAGCACCGGCUAACUCUGUGCCAGCAGCCGCGGUAAUACAGAGGGUGCAAGCGUUAAUCGGAAUUACUGGGCGUAAAGCGCGCGUAGGUGGUUUGUUAAGUUGGAUGUGAAAUCCCCGGGCUCAACCUGGGAACUGCAUUCAAAACUGACUGACUAGAGUAUGGUAGAGGGUGGUGGAAUUUCCUGUGUAGCGGUGAAAUGCGUAGAUAUAGGAAGGAACACCAGUGGCGAAGGGACCACCUGGACUAAUACUGACCACUGA
rnacentral:rRNA from 1 species